rnacentral:rRNA from 1 species
AGCGAACGCUGGCGGCAGGCUUAACACAUGCAAGUCGAGCGGGCGUAGCAAUACGUCAGCGGCAGACGGGUGAGUAACGCGUGGGAACGUACCUUUUGGUUCGGAACAACACAGGGAAACUUGUGCUAAUACCGGAUAAGCCCUUACGGGGAAAGAUUUAUCGCCGAAAGAUCGGCCCGCGUCUGAUUAGCUAGUUGGUGAGGUAACGGCUCACCAAGGCGACGAUCAGUAGCUGGUCUGAGAGGAUGAUCAGCCACAUUGGGACUGAGACACGGCCCAAACUCCUACGGGAGGCAGCAGUGGGGAAUAUUGGACAAUGGGGCAACCCUGAUCCAGCCAUGCCGCGUGAGUGAUGAAGGCCCUAGGGUUGUAAAGCUCUUUUGUGCGGGAAGAUAAUGACGGUACCGCAAGAAUAAGCCCCGGCUAACUUCGUG